CAGCACCUCAAGUGGUCAGGAUGAUUAUUGGGCCUAAAGCAUCCGUAGCCGGCGCUGUAAGUUUUCGGUUAAAUCUGUACGCUAACGUACAGGCUGCCGGGAAUACUGCAGCGCUAGGGAGUGGGAGAGGUAGACGGUACUCGGUAGGAAGGGGUAAAAUCCUUUGAUCUAUUGAUGACCACCUGUGGCGAAGGCGGUCUACCAGAACACGUCCGACGGUGAGGGAUGAAAGCUGGGGGAGCAAACCGGAUUAGAUACCCGAGUAGUCC
rnacentral:rRNA from 1 species